rnacentral:rRNA from 1 species
AUGGUGCACCUGAGGCACGCGAUUGCCACGGUUCAAAGAGACUUACAAAGCGAGGACGAAUUCAGAUGGCCACACGAUCCUUCAGGAGCUUACACCGCGAGAUCCACGUAUGCGCAACUCUGCCAGGGAGGAAUCCGCUUCCCCAUGGCACCGGCCAUUUGGCGAAGUUGGGCCCCGCUUAAGUACAAGAUUUUUACCUGGCUCGCGGUGCAACACAGAUUGUGGACCUCUGAUAGGAGAGCUCGUCAUGGUCUGCAAGAUGAGCCUUCGGCUUGCUACAUUUGCUUGCAACAGGAAGAUAACGUCGAGCACAUGUUGGUGCAAUGCCCAUAUGCGAGAGAAGUCUGGCACACAUGUUUCGACACUUUGCAGGUUCAAGUCGGUAUUCCGGACGGUCAGGAGACACUAGAGGAGUGGUGGCUCAAGACUAGGAGAGGAUUCCAUGGAAAAGUGAAGCGAGGCUUCGACUCGCUGGUCAUUGGAGCGUUGUGGGCCAUUUGGAAGCAAAGAAACGCGCACGUCUUCAACCGGCCGGAGCAGGUGGUGGGCCCGAGAGAGCUCGCAAUGGCGAUUCUCGGCGACAUUCGGGAUUGGUCGAGCGCUAGGUUUGGUGUGGGUGGCCUAGAUAGAUUCGUGAGGAGUUAG